rnacentral:lncRNA from 1 species
UCUCACACAGCACACUCCACUCUGCACACACACUUCCUUGUUCCCUCCUCAUUAGAUCUACAGUUGAGUUUGUGUGUAACUAUCUUGUGCUGAGCAGAUCCUGCUGACACACACAUGUUGUUGAGAUAAGAGCUCAGACUAGUUUAACUUCUGAGGAAAUAAAACUCAGUCAGUCAGUCAUCGUCGACAGUGAGUGUUGAAAUGGCGCAGAAAGGAGUUCAGCUGGACCGUGAAUCUUUCUCUUGUCCCAUCUGUUUGGAUCGACUGAAGGAUCCGGUGGCUGUUUCCUGUGGACACAGCUUCUGCAUGAGCUGUAUUCAAGCCCACUGGGAUAAAGAGGAUGAGAAGAAGAUCUACAGCUGUCCUCAGUGCAGACGGACCUUCACACCGAGGCCUGUCCUGCAGAAAAACACCAUGUUGGCAGGUUUAGUGGAGGAAGUCUGCUCUCGUCAUGGUGAGGUGAUGAAGAUCUUCUGUCGCACUGAUCAACAGUCUAUCUGUUUCAUCUGCUGUUUGGGCCAACACGAAGGCCACAACACAGUCUCAGCUGCAGCAGAAAGGACUGAGAGGCAGAAAGAUCUGGAGGAGAGUCGAGAAAACAUCCAGCAGAGAAUCCAGGUUAGAGAGAAAGAUGUGAAGCUGCUCCAACAGGAGGUGGAGGCUAUCAACGGCUCUGCUGAUAAAGCUGUGGAGCACAGCCAGGAGAUCUUCAGCCAGCUGAUCCGUCUCAUGGAGAAACAUCACUCUGAGGUGGAGCAGCAGGUCAGAUCCCAGCAGAAACGUGAAGUGAGUCGAGUCAAAGAGCUUCAGAAGAAGCUGGAGCAGGAGAUCACUGAGCUGAAGAGGAAAGACGCUGAUCUGCUGAAGCUCUCACUCACAGAGGACCACAACCAGUUUCUGCUCGGCUAUCCCCCACUGUCAGGACCGGGUCAACCUGCAGACUCAUCCAGGAUCAACAUCCGUCCUCAGAGAUACUUUGAGGAGGUGACAGCAGCUGUGUCAGAGGUCAGAGAUAAACUCCAGGAUCUUCUGACAGAGACGUGGACAAACGUCUCACAGGCAGUGAGUGAAGUGGAUAUUUUACUGUUAGAACCACCAGAACCAGAACCAGAACCCAAGACCAGAGCUGAUUUCUUAAGAUAUUCACAAAGAAUCACACUGGAUCCAAACACAGCACACAGAAAGCUGUUAUUAUCUGUUGCAAACAGAAGAGCAACAUAUACAGAAGAACAACAGUCUUAUCCUGAUCACCCAGACAGAUUCAUUGAUUAUACUCAAGUCCUGAGUAGAGAGAGUCUGACUGGACGUUGUUACUGGGAGGUGGAGCGGAGAGGGUACGAGGUCCAUGUAGCAGUCGCUUACAAGACUAUCAGCAGAGCAGGGUGGUCAGGGGAUUGUGGAUUUGGAUGCAAUGACAAAUCUUGGAGGUUAGUCUGUUAUAAAGACAGGUAUGAUUUUUUUCACAACAGUGUCUUCACUCGUGUCUCAGGUCCUCGGUCUUCCAGAGUAGGAGUGUACCUGGAUCAUAAAGCAGGUAUUCUGUCCUUCUACAGCGUCUCUGAAACCAUGACUCUCCUCCACAGAGUUAAGACCACAUUCACUCAGCCGCUACAUGCUGGAGUGGCAUUAUCAUGGGCUAAUGGAGGCUCUGCUGAGUUUAGUGACGUGACCAAACAAAAAAAAAAAAAAUGAGUCCAUCAGACCAAAAACAUGUAAAUGAGAUCACUGAACUCUUGAAAUGUUCUGGUUUGUAAAUUUUUGUGGAUCAGUCUCACCAAAAACUCUCGGUUUAGUUUUUCUUUUUUACCUUUUUCAUUCUUUUUUAAAAAUGCUACUUUGGUCGCAGCUGUAAGGACAGUGAUUGUGGAUAACUUUGAUUGUUUGUAUUUCUCAUUUUAAAAAUCUUCACUUAAGUUUUAUAGCAACAACAUCAAGAUGAUCAUUUGUUGAAAUCACCUUCAGUUGGUGCAGAUUUUAAAGGUCUGAGACUUAAGAGAAAAAAGUGACGUCAAAAUAACAGAAAGAUGAAAAAAGUACCACCUUAUUUCCUGUCCCAAAUUCAACUGUCUAAAGUCUUUCCUGUCUUCCCCAAAAACACUUCAAAUGAUAUGUGCUCUCUCUGUUUGCUGAAUAUUUGUAUUCGUGGCUUCUAUGGAUAUUCCAACAUGUUGUUAUGAGCUUUUCAAUCACUCUAAUAAUAAUCAUAUUCAAUUGUUCAACUGUUUUUGUGUUUCUAACUCAGCUCAGAUAGUGGUGAAGUCGCUGAUUGUGGGUGAAGAAAAAUAAAAAUCAUCAAACUUUGUCACUGAAAGCACCUUGCCUAUUUUUCUUCUUGGUUUAGUUCACCUGAACGACAACAAGUGUAAUGUCAGUUAGCCGAGAUUGAAUGAUCUGGGGGUUAGACAUCAUGUUGCCCUAAAAACAUAAAUCAGGGUAUGAAAAGAAGAAAGAGAGGAAAGAAAAAGAAAGAGGGCAGAAUGAGGGGAGGCAGCUGUUGACUGCUUUCUUUCCCAAAGGUGAACUAAGUUUGCUUGUUCUGCAAAGUCCAACUAAAGUUAACGUGGUCUACACUGGACAGCUGCUGCUGAUGUUUGUAUGCUCAUGUUAAGUCUUUAGCUAAGCUAGUCGCCAACCAGGCUGCUUGUGGCUAAAAGUAUAAAGAUAAUUAUGGGUCAGCUAAUGUUAGUUGACAACAUUAACCAGUUUCAGAAACAAACAGCAGUGCGUUUACAGGCACAGCUUAAUUGGGCAAAGCUCCUAAUUUUUUAUUUUUUUUUCCACCGAAUCGGACGUCUCUCCUUGUCCGAGUAUACAUGCAACCAAGAUCAGGGAGGUCCUAACUUACCAGGAGCCGUAAAAUGGUCGUGUUGACACAAUGCAGUGGAAGAUUAUUGGGACAAACUACAGUUAUGACAAGCCAGAUUCAGACCAUGUCCACCUGGUUUUUGGGACUUGUUUGUGGAGCCCUAAAUUGGACCUUUAUUCAUCUAAUGUCGGGGCAGCUAUAACUGUGGAGAUAAAACUGAACCAUAUUUGUGUUUAGUUUCUGUGUGUAUUGCCAUCGUAUCAAAAGCUCUCUUUGUUGGAGUGUGAGAGUCUAAAGUUCACAUCGCCGCUCCUCUUCCUGGUUUUUACAAGAGCUGGAUUUCCCUUCCUCGUCUCUCACACAGCACAUUCCAUUCUGCACACACACUUCCUUGUUCUCCUCACUUCCUUUUUCCCUCCCCUUGAGGCUGGGUGUAACCAGCCUGUGCUGAGCAGAUCCUGCUGACACACACAUGUUUUUGAGAUCAGAGCUCAGACUAGUUUAACUUCUGAGAAACAAACAAGAUGAAAAAAGUACCACCUUAUUUCCUGUCCCAAAUCCAACCCUCUAAAGUCUUUCCAGUUGUCCCCAAAUACAUUUCAAAUGAUCUGUGCUUUCUCUGUUUGCUGAAUAUUUGCAUUCAUGUCAUCGAUGGAUAAUGCUGUCUGCUUCUGUUACAUCAGUGUGUUUGUAAAGAGAUCUAUAAUGACACUUUUGGCAGAUCAACAUGUUAUGAGCUUUUCAAUCACUUCAAUAAUAAUCACAUUCAUUUGUCCAACUUUUUUUAUGUUUCUGACUCAGCUGAGAUUGUGGUGAAGUCUCUGAUUGUGGGUGAAAAAGAUAAAAAUAAUUAAACUGUGUCACUGAAAGCACCUCACCUGUUUUACUUUAUGGUUUAGUUCACCCGACUGGCGACAAGUGUAAUGUCAGUUAGCCGAGAUUGAAUGACCCGGGGGUUAGACAUCAUGUUGCCCAAAAAGCGUAAAUCGGGGCAUGAAAAGAAGAAAGAGAGGAAAGAAAAAGAAAGAAGGCAGAAUGAGGGGAGGCAGCUGUUGACUGCUUUCUUUCCCAAAGGUGAACUAAGUUUGCUUGUUCUGCAAAGUCCAAUUAAAGUUGACGUGGUUUACACUGGACGGCUGCUGCUGAUGUUUGUAUGCUCACGUGAAGUCUUUGGCUAAGCAAGUUGCUGACCAGGCUGCUUGCGGCUAAGAGUAUAAGGACAAUUAUGGGCCAACUAAUGUUAGUUGACAAUAUUAACCAGUUUCAGAAACUAACAGUGAGUGCGUUUACAUGCACAGCUUAAUCAGACUAAGCUCAUAGUUCUUUUUUCUUUUUUUUUUCUUCUGCCAAAUCCGACUUCUCUCCUUGUCGGUGUAUACAUGCAGCUGAGAAAAUCGAGUUACUGAAUUGAAUUAUUGACGUGAACAUGUACUCCUCCCCCAAACUAGGGGGCAAAAUGGGUCUUUU